AGUAUAUGCAUUAUGUAGGGAAAUGCAUAGAAGUUAUUGUGAACUAAAGACAUUUUGUGGAACGUGACAUGCAUUUUCCAUAUGAAAAAACUUUGGUUCAUUGCAUUUCAUGCUUCAGCGUGUCACAAUUCAGUUGAGAACAGAUUCUGAUUGAAUCUAACCAGUCCUGCUAACUAAACAGUAGGCCUAAAUGCUCCUUUUGCAGAAACUGAGGACUUUUUCUAGUAUCUUGCAAAGCGCAUUAUCCUGGAGGCCUGUUAUGUUUGUGUGAGGUGCCUAAAUCCUGAACUUUUGGGCCCAACAAAACAUUAAAACCCCUUCUCCUGUGUUUGUGUGAGUAAGUGUGCGUUUCCCCUCUUUAACGCAGGCAGUGAUGAAUCUCUUGACACACUUGAGACGAUGACGUGCAGUGCUGAUGUGGCCUUCAUUUGUCUGCGAGGACGUGUGAACAUCCCAGGGCCACUGUUGUUGUGUCUGUGAUGGCCUAUCAGUCCUCCUGCUUAUCUACGGUUUUACCGCAGAGAAAAGAAUUGGUCAUUUGCAUCCUCCGGGCUGAUAUCAGAAGGCCUGAGGAUUGCGGGAAUCUGGCUUUCCAUCUCCACUUUUACCAGCCGCCAGAACAAUGAAGUCCACACCUCUGUUUGAAUCCAUCCUGCAAUUUCUGAAACAGUGGAGUCAGUGAACCCUGCUAGACCGCGUGAUGGAACUGUGUGGUACGUGCCUUUGGUGUGGAGCGUUGUUUAUCUCUGUAAGGCCCAGUUGAUUGCACGGCUCCCCCAGACUCUGCGGCCCCCGCUGCGCUCAGUGGUGUGAAGACGUCGGGGCCAGGCGAGUGGUGGUCAGUAGCUGUCAAUCACAAUGCCAGGGAUCAGGUACUUGCCAUCAUUCUGAAGCCCUGCGUUAGAUUCCAGGCUCUGCUCUCUCAUCUGGUGUUUGAGACGAUAUGGUUGAACUGGUCCUGAUGGAUUUGGCUGAGGGCUUGAUUUUUCACUACACUUACUCAGAUGUUUGGACUGUAGUGUGUUAACACAUUCAACUCGCAUUCAAAUUUCAAAUCCAAAGCUGUGUUUUAACAUAGAAAGUACUAAUAGUAUCUUGCCUACAUAAAAAAUGUGUAUCUAUCUGUCCGUCCA
ensembl:lncRNA